CUUCGAGUGGGUUGGAUUCUCGGACUGGUUCACUGGCUUAGCACACGCAGAUAGAGGAGGGGAGGGGAAAGGAUCCAUAAUGUCACAGCAGCAAGAAGGGAACAUGGCCUGGAUGGUGGGGGUCCUAAAAGAUGGAUGCUGCUUUCCUGUGACAGUGCUUCAUAUAGAGGUGCUCAAUGGAGGGGAGGACUUUACCUGUGAUGGACUGGGCCAUAUCCACUACAUUUGAUAUGACUAUACAAAGGACCUGCCUCAAUGGCUACUGUCUGCCAUCGACCAUAAUGAAGUGCUUUGAGAGGUUGGCUAUAGUGUGGAUCAACUCCAAUUUGUCUACAGCUGCAACAAGCCAACAGGAAACAUAAUUUUGCUGAUUCUUCACUCUACUCUGGAACAUCUGAAAAUGGAAACUCAUACAUCAAGCUGCUAUUCAUUGAUUAUAGCUCAGCAUUCACCAUAAUAAUCCCAUUUAGACUAAUCAUCAAACCUCAUGACCUGGGUCUCUGUACCUCUGUAUGCAACUGGAUUCUUGACUUCCAGAUCAGCUGACCUUAAUCAGUGAAGGUUGGUAACAACAUCUCUCCCUCAUUAUUUUCAAUACAGGUGCUUAACCCCUGCUCACUUCUCCAUUUACACCUAACUGUGUGGCUAAGCACAACUCCAGUGCCAUGUUCAAAUUCAC